rnacentral:tRNA from 1 species
AAUGACGUGGCCCAGUGGUAAGGCAGGGGAUUGUAAAUCCUUUUUCCCCAGUUCAAAUUUGGGUGUCAUUU